rnacentral:rRNA from 1 species
CCUACGGGAGGCAGCAGUGGGGAAUCUUGCGCAAUGGGCGAAAGCCUGACGCAGCAACGCCGCGUGCGGGAAGAAGGCUUUCGGGCUGUAAACCGCUUUCAGCAGGAACGAAAAUGACGGUACCUGCAGAAGAAGGAGCGGCCAACUAUGUGCCAGCAGCCGCGGUGAUACAUAGGCUUCAAGCGUUGUCCGGAUUUAUUGGGCGUAAAGAGUUCGUAGGCGGUCGAGUAUGUCGGGUGUGAAAAUUCUGGGCUCAACCCAGAGACGCCACCCGAUACUGCUUAACUUGAGUUCGAUAGGGGAGUGGGGAAUUCCUAGUGUAGCGGUGAAAUGCGCAGAUAUUAGGAGGAACACCGGUGGCGAAGGCGCCACUCUGGAUCGAUACUGACGCUGAGGAACGAAAGCAUGGGUAGCAAACAGGAUUAGAUACCCUGGUAGUCCAUGCCGUAAACGGUGGGCACUAGGUGUGGGAUUCUAUUAACGAAUUCCGCGCCGUCGCUAACGCAUUAAGUGCCCCGCCUGGGGAGUACGGUCGCAAGCUAAAACUCAAAUGAAUUGACGGCUUGAGAGNGCGAGCGACGACGAGGAGAG